CUAUGCCUUGACUGUGAGUCUGUCCCCGUGUCCUUGACUGUGAGUCUGUCCCCGUGGCAAUGCCUUGACUGUGAGUCUGUCCCCAUGUCCUUGACUGUGAGUCUGUCCCCAUGUCCUUGACUGUGAGUCUGUCCCCGUGUCCUGAUUGUGAGUCUGUCCCCAUGUCCUUGAUUGUGAGUCUGUCCCCGUGUCCUUGAUUGUGAGUCUGUCCCCAUGUCCUUGACUGUGAGUCUGUCCCCGUGUCCUUGAC
rnacentral:lncRNA from 1 species